rnacentral:rRNA from 1 species
CGAAAGCCUGACGGAGCAACGCCGCGUGAGGGAGGAAGGCCUUCGGGUUGUAAACCUCUUUUCUCAAGGAAGAAGUACUGACGGUACUUGAGGAAUAAGCCUCGGCUAACUCCGUGCCAGCAGCCGCGGUAAGACGGAGGAGGCAAGCGUUAUCCGGAAUUAUUGGGCGUAAAGCGUCCGUAGGUGGUUAUUCAAGUCUUUUGUUAAAUAGUGGAGCUUAACUCCAUAGAGGCGGAAGAAACUGAGUAACUUGAGUGCGGUAGGGGUAGAGGGAAUUCCAGGUGUAGCGGUGAAAUGCGUAGAUAUCUGGAAGAACACCAGUGGCGAAGGCGCUCUACUGGGCCGUAACUGACACUGAGGGACGAAAGCUAGGGGAGCG